UAGGGAAUUUUCGUUCAAUGGGCGCAAGCCUGAACGAGCAAUGCCGCGUGAACGAGGAAGGUCUUCGGAUCGCAAAGUUCUGUUGAAGGGGAAAAAGAGCGGAGAGAGGAAAUGCUUUCUGAUUGAUAUUACCCUUCGAGGAAGUCACGGCUAACUACGUGCC
rnacentral:rRNA from 1 species